UUCUUUUACUGGCUCUUUGUCCAUGUAAAUGCUAGUGUUCCCCACUGUCUUGCCCUCAGUCUUUUUAUUUUUCCAUAAUUCUCUCAGAGAUCUCUUAUCCAUUUCCAUGUCCUUGACUACCGUUGACCUGCUAAAUCUUGCAAAAUCUAUAUCUUAUCCCUUUUCUGAGAUCCAUAUUUCCAUUUUCAACCAAACACAGUCAGUUCUGCUAUAAUGUGACUUAUGAAUUCCAACAUUAUGCAAAAUCAUGCAACAAAAACAGUAGGACUUGCGGAAAAUCAGAGUUAGAAGAACAGUCAGCCAGUAACUCUAGUGGACUGAAUGUUUGUAUCUUCCCCCAGAUUUUUAUCUUGAAAUCCUAGCCCCUAACGUGGUGGUAUUCUGAGGUGAAGCUUUUGGGAAGUGACUGAAUCAUGAGGCUAGAGCUCUCAUACAUGGGAUUAUAAAAGAAACCCCAGAGAGGUCUCUUGCCCCUUCCACCAUGUGAGUUAAAAAUAAGAAGAUGGUUAUCUAUGAGGCAGUGAAUCCUCACCUGACUCUGAAUCUGCUGAUGCCUUGAUCUUGAACUUACCAGCCUCUAGAACUAUGAGAAAUACGUUUCUGUUGUUUAUAAGCCAGCCACCGGAUUUAUGGUAUUUUGUUACAGCAGCUGAAUACACUUAAGACAAUGACACAGAGAAAAAGACAGAAACCUAAGAAAAGCAAUGUCACAAUUUUGCACAUAUUAAAUGGUUAAUAAAUGCACAAAUACUAUCUCAAAUAUGGCACUUUACCUUAAAGAGGGCUUGAAGUUUGCUUGUAGAAAUGUGAUUUGAAAUCAUUGUACUCUGUGUUACCCUGAAGUGGUAGAAAGAGGGCUAUGUAAAAUCAGUUGGAAAGUUGUAAAACCAGAUAUGGAUGGGUGUGGCUCAUAACAAACAAAUGCUGCAAACUGGGAUAGUGGGUAGAUGUUUGAGGUAGGCAUGUGUGCAAGUUUUGGUAUUCCUGUGUAGUUUGAUUCACUGGUGUGCAGUUUUCUGCCUUCACCUAGUGUAUUUUUUGUGGAUGAAAUCACACAUAAGCAAAUGCAAAAUUCUUGUUAUGCUCAAAUUAUCUCCUAAUAUAUUAAUAUCAUUGCAACACAUUCAAGGUUUUACAAGUGUUAUGCCAGAACUGAUGCCUCCCAGGUAUCUCAGUCUCAACACAUCAAAUCAUGAUAUGUCCAACUAUUUUUUUUUCUGCAGUGUCUUUCUUCCUCCACAAAGUCUGUUGAUGCCAUCAACAAAUAGCCAACUGCCUUAAACAGAAACCUUGACAUGGUCUUCAUCUACCUCUCUGUCACUCAUUACAUCCAAUUAGUCAUCAACUACUGUCAAUUCCACCUCAUAAAUAUGUCUAAAGUUCAUCUUCUCUUCUCCAUUGUGGGAAUUGUACUGAUUCAAACUUACCAUCUCUUGCCAGAGCUCUUGCAAGAGCCUCCUACUUUGUUUUCUGGCUCAAUUUUUAUCUCCCAACACCUGAUAUUUUAAACAGCCAUCAUGAUGAUCUGUCUCAGAGCAAGUUUUCUGAGAGUAAAGGCACUGAGUUUAACUCCAUGUCCUGCCCUAUUAUCUGUAUGAUUUUAGGUAAUUUACUUAACCUCUUUAUACCUCAGCUUCCUCAUCGAGAAAAAGGAAAUAAUAAUAAAUCUUGUGUCACAGGUUUGUUGUGGGGAUGAGACCUUUAAACAGCUUAACACAGUGUCCAGCAUAUGUGUUAAAUGAAUAACAGUUAUAACCAGUAUCAUUAUUAUGAUUAUGAUUAACAUUGUCAUCAUCAUAUCAUUGUUACCAUCAGGAUAUCAUUAUUCUAGGAAAGCUGGAGUUAAGUUCUUCAAGCUGAAAAACCAGACUUUUUAGCUUUUAUUUCAUUUAUUUAAAUUCAACAUAUAUAUGUCACAUAUUGAAUGCUUACUGCAUCCAAAGCAGUACCAAGGGAGACACUCAGUUGAAUCUAACUACCAAGACUGACAAAAAUUAUGUAUUAAUAUUUCCACCUUAAAGCAGAUUGUCAUGAUGGCUAUAUAUAAAGUAAAAAGGGAGUAUAGGAAAGGAGAUAAAUUCUAAUGGAGGAUUUUGGAGGCCUUUGGGGAGAAAAUAAUAUUUCAAUGGUCAAAAAGAUUGGAUGGCCCUGAGAACCAUCUAUGAAUGAUAAUCUCUAUCUUAGAAACAUGAUGUGGUUUGUACGUGGGUGGAAGAAGGAGAGUUUAAAAAAUGACAACUAUGUCUAUUGUGGCUGGAGUGUGGUAUGCAGGAUGAAAGGAGCUGGAAUGAAACAUGGGUUACUGAUGAACUGGGUCAAGGUGAGGGUUCAGCAGGUCUGUUCAUUCUACUUUGAAGUGAACUCUGAAUCCAUUCAUUCAUCUUCAUCCCCACUAUUGUGGCUCUAACCCAGGACAUGGCCUUUACUCACAUGGAAUACUGCAGAGCUUUCCUAUCCAAAUCCCUUUCUCUGGCCUGCAGAGCUUUGUGCUGUCUUGACUUUGCUAUAAUACACCUGCAUUAACCACACCCCUUAUCUCAGUCAUGAUGGUUUUCUUAUGACCGUUGAAGAAGACAGGUCUGUUACCAUCUUCAGACUUUGACUCUUCCUGCUCCUCUACCUGAAGUUCUUCCCCUUUUUUUUUGGAUGACUAACUUAUUCUCACCUUUCAAGUCUCAGCACAAGUAUCUCUUCUUCAGAGAAAACUUUCUUAACAAUCCUAUUCAAAAUAGACCACCCUUGUCACUCUCUAUAGCAUCACCAUAGAUGACAUAUUAUUUAUUUAUCACCAAUAAUUCCACCAAGACACAAGCUCAGUAACUGUUCUGGCUCAACAUUGUAUCUGUAGUGCAUAAAACCAUGCCUGUGCAUACUAAGUGCUGAGAAGUUCUGGUUCAAUGGACACAUGAUUCUAGGUAGCUACAGCUAUACAGUUGGAUAGGAAAGGCCCUGAAUGACAGACUGCAGAAUUUAGGUUUUUCUCUUUGACAGUAGAGAUUUUGUGAGUGGAUGUGUUUUCUCCUCCUUCUCAGCUUCUUCUCCACCUACCUAAGUCUCCACUCGUUCGUCAUGGCUCAACUCAGUCUCCACCUUACAACAGUGAUUAUCCUUGGUUACGUCUGUAAAUAUUCUCUCUUUUUCUCUCCUUUGCAUCCUUGGCUUUUAAAUAAAUAUUAUUUAUGUUGUUUUUGGCACUAAUCAUAUGCUGCAAAGAGUUACUUGGUAUUUUGCCAUCUGUCUAAAUUUAUCUUUACAAAAAGACUUCUGAAUAUUUUAAGAAUGUCAUGUAUGACCUAUGCCCUGUGGUUCUUGCCAUGUCUCUUAUAGGUCUGAGGUGCCCCCAGAAGUUUCUUGGGUGCUCUCUGGUUAUUUUUAAGAUAAUUAAUAUUCUUUCAAUUUCAUUGUGUGAAUUGUCCUCAAUUCAACACAUAUUCAUUGUGUGCCUAGAGUGUGCUGUGUUCUGUGGCAUAUAAAGAUGAGAAUGGUACAGUCUUUGCACUCAGGUAGUCCAUGAUUCACCUAGGAAAAGCAAGUGCAUAUAUCAAAUGUAAUAAUUAAAGCGCUAUUACAUAGGUUUGUGCUGACUGCAAUGAGACCAUGAAUGAAAGAUCAACUGAUUUCAUCAGAAGUGAAAAAGAUUAGAAACUCAAUUGAGUUGGGACCGUGGGCAGGAUGUGCAGCAUUGCCUGGGGGCAAGGCAUUCCAUUUGGAAGAAUGGUAUGGGCCAAAAUUCUGUGGUGUGAAUGUGCUGAUGACUCUGUGAAUAGCCUAUAAACUAGAGUGGCUUGAGCAAAGGGUGCAGACGUAGAAAAAGAAUAGCUGAGAAUAGGAAUUAAUUUCAAACAUAUUUUACAUGUUUUUAGAAGGAAGAGUACAUGCAAAGGUGAUGUCAUACAUACCUCUUCCCAAGCCAAUUGCAUUAGGGCUAUUCUGUGAUAACGAGUUCCCAGAAGGUGAUGGCAUUGGACUGAUCCCACAGGCAACUAACCUUUUCCCAGUGAGUGCACCCCCACCUCUAAAGCUGGCAGAGCCAUCUCUGUUUCAUCUUGGUUCCAUGUGUUUACACUACUACAAAGUUAACAUAACCCAACCAGGAUGGGGUGAGCUCACCAGAAAUGUGAGCCCUGAGUUUAAUUCAAUGUGGUUCAACUUUAAAGCAUUCCUGAAAAUGCAUUUGGCAUCAGCAACUAGAAUUUCAGUUCUCUGGGAUGUGCUUGCCCUGUGGAUGUGGCUUGUGAACAACACAUGGCAGAGGAUAUUUAUACUGAGAUGAACAGGGUUUUCAUCCUGAGAGUCUGCUGGAGGCUCUGUCGGGAUGACAUAGGUGUCUGCAUAGUCAGGCAGGGUCUGGCAAACAUGUCGCCUUUGGCAGAUCAGGAAGGACAGGCCUAGUGUUGUGGUGUCUUAACGGGGAAGGGGAGGCCAAAGGUGGAGCAGUAAUAGCUCAGAUGUACUGUGCUUUUCCAGAACUUGAUUACACUGCUUUCUGAUACAAGAGAAUAUGUACUUAGGAGCUGGGCAAAAAUCACUAACUUCUAAUUCCUAAUCUGGGUAGACCAGGGCUUUAACAGCUCUCAAUCUGGGUUAAGCACGCACUGAAACAUGAUGGCAAGGAGAGAGAUUAGCAAAGUUUCUUCCUCACACUGGAGAGAGAAUGCUUCAAAGCAGCCGUCAUCCGGUGACUGACAGGGACUUGGUGGACAAACAUCCUACAGCAUCCUUGCUCCUUUGUACAGAUGAUUGAUUCUGAGGUGUGCCCUGCACUGUCCCAGGGUCCCCCUGAGGGAUUGAGCCUCAGUCACCCACAGCAGAACUCUGAUCUAUAACAUACCUUCUACUGGCUGCCUCUUCUUCCCUGCCUCACUUCCCCCUUACCAAUUGUUGCCUUCUGGUGUCAUCUCCCAAAUAAACCACUUGCCCUCAAAUCUCUGACUCACCCCUUUUGGAGGAAUCACCUUGUGUAGCCAGAAAAGACAUAAAGAAUAGAAUCUGGACACAGGAGAUUUUUUAAAAAAAGAGUAGAUGGAAUGUUACAGACAUUUAUUGAAAACCCAUUGCAAGCCAGGUUCUCUAUCUGACACUUUUCCUGUAGCAGGACUGUAGUCCCUCCAACUCCCCUCAGCACUCAUCUGUGCAUAUUGAAGCUGCUCACCACAUAGCCUUUCUGGCCUCAAGCACAUACUCUGUCUGCAAACUGAACUCAGAACUGAGGUGGAAUGAAUAUUUCUAAGGCAACUCUCAAUCAGUGAUGGAUGGCAAUGACUAGGUGAAUAAGCACGUUCCUCACCGCUUGGGAGAGGUAGCUCUCAGGCACAGAUUCCCUAUUUCCCAGGGGUCCCUGGCAGAAUAGACUCUCUAAUGUCCGCAAUAGGACCCUGACCAUUAGCAUACUUUGUGACCUGCCUCCUCUUUUCUCUCUUCCUUCUUGAGCCCCCUACCAGUGCUUCCUGAGACCUUCUCCCAGACAAACCACUUGCAUUCAAAUCUUUAUCACAGGGCCUACUUCGGGAGAAGGCCAAAACAUAAGACAACAUAUGUAUCUCAUUUGGUGCUAAUAAUAAACAAUGGAGUCAGAUAAUAUAAUAAUGGUAACGCCUACUCACUCUUCCAAGUACUUUACACAUGUUAACUAGUUUAAUUCUCACAUCGCCAUAAUAAAUUAUACCUGUGUACGGAUGAGGACAGCAAGGCACAAAGCAUUAACAGUAUGGCCUAUAGUUGCACAACUGGCUAGUAGAGGAGCCAGAGUUCUAGGUCAGGCAGUCUGGCACCAGAAUUGACCCUAUUUUUUAUUUAAGGAACUAAGACUUAGAAACAUUAAUUAACUUGACAAAGGUCCCAUGAUGACAAGCAACAAGACUGAGAUCAGAACCCAUAUCUGUCUGAGUCAAUGAACUUUCCCUGUUGUUAUUAACAAACAUUUUCCCGAGGUCCCUGAAUGGAUCUCUGGUUCUCUGGAGCAACAGGCCUGGACAUGUGGAGCCCCAUCCAGUGGUAGCCUGGCUCACUACACCCCACAUUAUUGUGCUGAGAGGGAAACAAAGCCAGCUGGGGUACUGUAGGAGGGAUCCCCACAAGCCACCAAGUAGCCUGAAGUUACCCAAUGCUUCCACCUGGAUGUUUUCCAAGAUGUGAAAUUGCUUACUAAGAAAAGCAAAGAAGAUUUUGUUCUCUAUGUGCUCCUGAUCUUUCUUUCUAGUAAAAUGGUUAGUACUUGAUUAAUGUAUUGUUCUUCAAAAGAAAGGGGAAAACGACUAAGGUUUGGGCAUCAAAACAUCUAAGACUUUGAUUUCCAGAAUUCUUCUGUGGAUCACCUCUAAGUCGCUAAUGACAUCAGUAAGAAGAAAACACUCAAGAGUCACAGCUCAUUGCAGUCAGAUGCCUGUUCACACCAGAGCUAUGUCACUUCUUAACUGUGUGAAUUUAGCAAAAUUAUGUCACCACUCCGAGCCUGGCUUCUAUCAAAGUGAGAAUAAUAAUAGUGCUGACUAUGCCAAUCUGGGGUGAGGAUCAAAAUGGGGCAAGGCAUAGGGAAUAUUAAGAAGGCAUGGAUAUUAAGAAGAUAUAAUAUACUAGUGAUGUUAAAAGAUUGCAAAGCAAAGUAUGUGUUCCUUCUCUUAAUUUUGUCAAAAUUAAUGUAAUCACUAUUUACUUAGUAUAUUUGAGUUCUCAGACACUGCUCUAGGUUCUGAGAACCCAGAGUAAAUAAACAAAUGAAAUAUUUUGCCACACAUUUUAGUGUAAACAAAAUAAACUAUUUAGUUUGUUAGAAGGUGAUAAGUCCGAAGAGUAACAGAUCAGCAAGGAAGGGCAGAGGAAGUAUUGGAGGAAGAGCUGCACUUUCACAUAGAGUGGUCCAGGAAAGGUCUCAUUAAGUAAGCAACAUUUGGAAAGAGAGAUGAUAAACUCAAAAUAGAUUAAAUACUAAAACAUAAGACCUGAAACUGUAAAAAUCUUAAAAGAGAACAUAAGGGAAAUGGUCCUUGACAUUAGUUUUGGUAAUGAAUAUUGACACCAAAAGUACAGGCAACAAAAGGAAAGAUAAAUAAGUGGCACCACAUCAAACCAGAAAAGUUCUUCUGCAGGAAAUAAAACAAUCAGUAAAUGAAAAGGCAACCAACUGAAUGGGAAAAAAUAUUGGGAAACUGCAUAUCUGAUAGGGGGCUGAUAUUCAAGAUCUGUAAGGAACUCACACAACUCAACAGCAAAACCAACCAGUCAAUCAAAUAACCCAAUUAAAAAAUCAGGAAAGGAUCUGAACAGAUGUUUUCCCAAAGAAUGCAUACAAAUGACCAAUAGGUACAUGAAGUGGUGCUUGCCAUCACUAACCAUCAGGGAAAUGCAAAUGAAAACCACAACAAGAUAUUAUCUCACACUUGUUAGGAUAGCUGUUAUCAAAAAGGCAAAAAAUAACAAGUGUUGGUGAGGAUGUGGAUAAAAGAGAAUCGCUGUACACUGUUGGAGGAAAUGUAAAUUAGUACAAGCCUUAUAUAGAAUAGUACAGAGGUUCCUAAAAAAUUAAAAAUAGAACCACCAUAUGAUUCAGUAAUCCCUCUGCUGAGUAGGCACUUAAAAGAAAUAAAAGCAGCAUGUCCAAAAGAUAUUUGCACUCCAUAUUCAUUGCAGCAUUAUUCACAAUGGGCAAGAUAUGGAAACAUCCUUAGUGUCUGUCAAUAGGUGCAAGGAUAGAUAAAAUGUAUGUGUAUGUAUAUGUGUGUAUGCAUUACAGGAAAUAUUAUUUGGGCUUAAAAAGAAGGCGAAUUCUGCCAUUUGUGACAACAUGGAUGAACCUGGAGAACAUUAUGCUAGGUGAAAUAAGGCAGACACAGAAAGACAAAUACCCCAUGAUCUUACUUACGUGUGGAAUCUACAGAUGUUGAUCAUUAGAAAUAGAGAGUAUAACAGUGGUUACCAGAGGCAGGAGGUGGGGAAAUUGGGGACUAUGUGUCAGAAUUGUUAAAUGAGUAUGUUCUGGAGAUACAAUAUACAGCAUGGUGACUAGUUAAUAAUAAUGAAUUAUAUACUAGAAUUUUCUAAAAGAAUAGAUCUUAAGUGUUCUCACUAAAGUGUGUGAGGUGAUGGACAGGUUAACUUGAUUGGAGGAAUCAUUGUACAAUGUAUUCACAUAUCAAAACAUCAUGUUGUACAUCUUACAUACAUACAGUGUUUGCUUGCCAAUCACACCUCAAUAAAGUUGGGAGGGGGAAAGACUUUAAGUGGUGAGCAUGCAGAUCAUAAAGGAAUAACAUAAACAUGUCUGAGACACUUUGGUAAGCACUACCCUGGUGACUAGCCAAUCUUACCACACUCUCUAGCAUUCCAUGGCUAUGGCCUUUGAAACAAGCAGAGCAUGCCCCAAACCAGCACAGAGAAAAGUGACUUUAGCUGGUCCUCAUUCUGAGCAUGCUGUUGUAAACUAUGUGUAUCUAACAAAUUCUUGUAUCUGGAGCUCCAGUUUGAGAAACCUGGGAAAAUAGCCCAAAAAGUUUGUGUAAAACCGGCAGCUUGGGAGAAUUAUUCUACAAAGCCAGCAACCAUUGCAGACUCCUGAGUUUCAAUUUGGGCUGUAAUCAUGAGAGAGCCUUCACGUGCAAGGUGAGUAUGGAGCUAGCAAAUCCUUCCCAUUAAUAUCUGCACAGGAAAGCUUUUCUUUUCAGCAAGCUGCUUCUGACCAUGAGAAAAUCAGUAACAUUCCCGGCACUGUAGAACCAAACCUUGACAAAUUCAGCAGCAACCUCAGCAUCACAGAACUGUGAAGAGGUCAGCAGCAUCCCAGCACCAAAAUCACAGUAUCUCCAAUAGCAUCGAAGCAUUAAAAGAUACUUUUGCCUAAAGACAACUCUGAGCCCAAGCCAACUAUCUCUUGGCUAAAAAGGGAAAUGAGCAGGUUUUUGAAGAGUAUGACAGCCAUAAAGCACUCCUACAGUGAAAUUUUCCCGUAGAAGAAUGGAGAGGGAUCUGAGAAGUUGCUGCUGUGGAUUUAACAUGAGGCUUCUACAUCCCUUCUGCUGUUUCGAGUUGGUCAGACCUCUGGGUUGCCCAGUCAGACCUGGGGAAGAGUUCACACUGCAGACCCGUCAGCCUGCCUAGGACUAUCUCAAGCCAGGAGAACAGAAUUGGACUCAGCAAGAAUGAGAUCUUGGUUGAGUGGAGAGAGAGGAUAAGAGAUGUGCCUGCUUCUCCUUCGCCUUUUGCCAUGAUUGUAAUUUUCCUGACACUUCUGUAGCCAUGCUUCCUCUACAGCCUGUGGAACUGGCAGGGAUCUCAGGAGAAACUGGAGUGUGUGGCAUGUAGGGGUAUGAAGAAGAAGAAAUUAAACAAGGUGUGAUAUCAGGCAGAGAGUUUCAGCCAUAUUCUGAAAGAAAAUCUCUAGACCAUUCAUUCUUGGGGAAGCUAGAUGCCAUAUCAUAAAGAAUCCAUGAAGCUGUAUAAAGGGGCUUACAUGACUGAGUCUUGCACUGUUGCCCAGGCUGGAGUGCAGUGACGCGAACUCGGCUCACUGCAAGUUCCCCUGACUGACAUCUUAACUGCAAUAUAUAAUGUGAAACCUUAAACCAGAUAGCUCAACUAUGCCACUCUUGAAUUCCUGAACCAAAGAAACUGUGAGAAUAAUAAAUGUUCAUUGUUUUAAGCUGCACACUAUUGGGAGUGUUUUAUGUAGCAGUAGACAAUACACAAUGCAAACCAUUUACAUAUCUGGAACAUACUUUUUUGAAGAACAAGUACACUUUUUAUUCCACUCAUUCAUUCAUUCAUUCAUUCAUUCAUUCAUUCAUUCAUUCAUUCAUGGAGUACUUCAUGCCAAGAAAUGUACUAUGUAGAAGUGAUGCAGACCUUGUCCCAGUCUUCUAGGUGCUCCAUCUAAAGCCUAGAAAUUUUCAAACAUAUCUUGGGUUGCCUUAAGAGUAUCUGCUACUGAUGUCAAUAUACAUAGAGAAUACCAUAUAAUCUAGCAAUCCCAAUAUGGUUAUGUAUCCAAAGGUAAUGUAAUCAGUAUA